rnacentral:rRNA from 1 species
GCAAGUCGAGCGGACCGACGGGAGCUUGCUCCCUUAGGUCAGCGGCGGACGGGUGAGUAACACGUGGGUAACCUGCCUGUAAGACUGGGAUAACUCCGGGAAACCGGGGCUAAUACCGGAUGCUUGAUUGAACCGCAUGGUUCAAUCAUAAAAGGUGGCUUUUAGCUACCACUUACAGAUGGACCCGCGGCGCAUUAGCUAGUUGGUGAGGUAACGGCUCACCAAGGCGACGAUGCGUAGCCGACCUGAGAGGGUGAUCGGCCACACUGGGACUGAGACACGGCCCAGACUCCUACGGGAGGCAGCAGUAGGGAAUCUUCCGCAAUGGACGAAAGUCUGACGGAGCAACGCCGCGUGAGUGAUGAAGGUUUUCGGAUCGUAAAACUCUGUUGUUAGGGAAGAACAAGUACCGUUCGAAUAGGGCGGUACCUUGACGGUACCUAACCAGAAAGCCACGGCUAACUACGUGCCAGCAGCCGCGGUAAUACGUAGGUGGCAAGCGUUGUCCGGAAUUAUUGGGCGUAAAGCGCGCGCAGGCGGUUUCUUAAGUCUGAUGUGAAAGCCCCCGGCUCAACCGGGGAGGGUCAUUGGAAACUGGGGAACUUGAGUGCAGAAGAGGAGAGUGGAAUUCCACGUGUAGCGGUGAAAUGCGUAGAGAUGUGGAGGAACACCAAUGGCGAAGGCGACUCUGUGGUCUGUAACUGACGCUUAGGCGCAGAAGCG